rnacentral:rRNA from 1 species
CGUACGCUGGCGGCACGCCUAACACAUGCAAGUCGAACGCAGUAGCAAUACUGAGUGGCAAACGGGUGAGUAUAAUGUGGGAAUCUGCCUUUUGGUCAGGAAUAACACGGGGAAACUUGUGCUAAUACCGGAUAAGCCCUUACGGGGAAAGUUUUAAUGCCGAAAGAUGAGCCUGCACUUGAUUAGCUAGUUGGUAAGGUAAAGGCUUACCAAGGCAACGAUCAAUAGCUGUUCUUAGAGGAAGACCAGCCACAUUGGGACUGAGACACGGCCCAGACUCCUACGGGAGGCAGCAGUGGGGAAUCUUGCACAAUGGGGGAAACCCUGAUGCAGCGAUGCCGCGUGAGUGAAGAAGGCCCUUGGGUUGUAAAACUCUUUCGUCGGGGAAGAAAAUGACUGUACCCGAAUAAGAAGGUCCGGC